rnacentral:rRNA from 1 species
GAUGAACGCUGGCGGCGUGCCUAAUACAUGCAAGUCGAGCGAACAGACGAGGAGCUUGCUCCUCUGACGUUAGCGGCGGACGGGUGAGUAACACGUGGAUAACCUACCUAUAAGACUGGGAUAACUUCGGGAAACCGGAGCUAAUACCGGAUAAUAUAUUGAACCGCAUGGUUCAAUAGUGAAAGACGGUUUUGCUGUCACUUAUAGAUGGAUCCGCGCCGCAUUAGCUAGUUGGUAAGGUAACGGCUUACCAAGGCAACGAUGCGUAGCCGAACUGAGAGGGUGAUAGGCCACACUGGAACUGAGACACGGUCCAGACUCCUACGGGAGGGAGCAGUAGGGAAUCUUCCGCAAUGGGCGAAAGCCUGAUGGAGCAACGCCGCGUGAGUGAUGAAGGUCUUCGGAUCGUAAAACUCUGUUAUUAGGGAAGAACAAAUGUGUAAGUAACUAUGCACGUCUUGACGGUACCUAAUCAGAAAGCCACGGCUAACUACGUG